rnacentral:lncRNA from 1 species
GGAGUAGAAGGUGUUGAGUGUUGGGAUGUUUUCAAGGUUGGCAGAGAGAGGGAGAGGAGGUUGGAGACCAAACUGGUAUGCUUGUUCCUAACCUUUACCUUCUCACCAAACUCGUACCUCCCUCAACGUCCCCCAGGACGGCAGAGGCAGCUGCAACCUGAAGUUAUUCUUGUAGGCGAUGGUAUCUUAGCUACGGGGUUUAGAAAUAGUAAGGGGCGAUGACACCAACCCAAGCUGUGGCUGGUGGCCCACCACAUUCUUCUCC